GCCUACGACCAUACCACGUUGAAUACACCUGAUCUCGUCCGAUCUCGGAAGUUAAGCAGCGUUGGGCCCAGUUAGUACUUGCAUGGGUGACCGGCUGGGAAUACCGGGUGUAGUAGGCCGGC
rnacentral:rRNA from 1 species